rnacentral:lncRNA from 1 species
UUGUUGACAGUGAUUGGUAUUCGAAUCAGUUCCAGUAACGAGGUUCCACCACCUAUUUCCCAAAAAUGAGCUAUGUCUUUGGGUGCAUUGUGUCUCCUUGCCCUUCUCCCAAAGGUAUAUUCCAAAACUAACGUUGGCUUUGGAACCUCUUCCCUCUCUAGACACCUCAGUAUGAUAGUGGUCUUCCCCCCGUUUUUGCUUCCCAUAAACAACACUGAUUUUUCGCAAACUUCCACACGCUUGCCAUCGUCGCCGUUGUUUUCUCUUUUCUCUACUUCAUCUCUAGCAAUAUCCCAC